GAUGAACGCUGGCGGCGUGCCUAAUACAUGCCAGUCGAGCGAACGGACGAGAAUCUUGCUUCUCUGAUGUUAGCGGCGGACGGGUGAGUAACACGUGGAUAACCUACCUAUAAGACUGGGAUAACUUCGGGAAACCGUAGCUAAUACCGGAUAAUAUUUUGAACCGCAUGGUUCAAAAGUGAAAGACGGUCUUGCUGUCACUUAUAGAUGGAUCCGCGCUGCAUUAGCUAGUUGGUAAGGUAACGGCUUACCAAGGCAACGAUGCAUAGCCGACCUGAGAGGGUGAUCGGCCACACUGGAACUGAGACACGGUCCAGACUCCUACGGGAGGCAGCAGUAGGGAAUCUUCCGCAAUGGGCGAAAGCCUGACGGAGCAACGCCGCGUGAGUGAUGAAGGUCUUCGGAUCGUAAAACUCUGUUAUUAGGGAAGAACAUAUGUGUAAGUAACUGUGCACAUCUUGACGGUACCUAAUCAGAAAGCAACGGCUAACUACGUG
rnacentral:rRNA from 1 species